rnacentral:lncRNA from 10 species
GCUGCCGCCUUGCAGUUUGAUCUCAGACUGCUGUGCUAGCAAUCAGCGAGACUCCGUGGGCGUAGGACCCUCUGAGCCAGUCACCAAUGCUGCUCAUUGCAAUGUAUGGAGUGAAAGAGGCUGCCAUCGGUAUCCAGAAGAAGGUGUUACUUCGGUACCCAUACUCAUAAUCCAUAUGCUCCUGAAAUCAUGUGGAACAUGCAACUAGGACCUUCUGAACACGUAGCCUGAUUUACUUAUGAAGAAGCAAAUUCAACCAAGUGAUACGAAUUGUCUAAGGUCAUACAGUUAAUAACUUGUAAGAGCCCAGCACAGCACAGAUUUACAAAAUGAUACACAAAGACCUCAGAGUGGUACAUCCUGUAGUUGAGGGCUUCUUACACCUGAUGAAAUACCAUAGGUUCUGCAUGUCAGGUAUUGUUCCAGUGCUUUAUUUAUAUUUAAUAUUUCAAUACAUUUGAAGGUAUUAAAUCAUUUAAUCCUCAUAACAACCCUAGAGUACUAUUUUAAUUUUCUUUUCACAAGUGAGGAAACUGAGAUACAGAAUAGUACUAUAACCUGUUAAGGAUUAUAGAGCUAAUAAUAGCAUAGCUGGUGUUUGAAUCUAGACUGGCUCUAGCAUUGAGUUUCAAUCUCUGCACUUUAUUGUCUGGUUCUGUGUUUCUUUAUGGACCAAGGUUAUGUCAUGCUUAUUGAUUCAAGCAUGCAGCAAUGGCCCCGGUAUAAUUUCUUGAACUUGAUAUGGCAAACACAUUUUUACAGAGUAAACUUAAGAAGCAUUCUACCUCAAAACGCUUAGGAAGUGAAACAGUGCAUUGGGAGAUACCAUAGAAAAGUAAUAACACCAGUAGUUCUCCAAGCUUCUGUGUUUGCAGCAAAGUUGUACAUUGAAGUGUUUGGCAGAAUGCACGCCAAUCCAAGUUAUGUUCAAUAACUUGGAUUAUAUCAGUAUGUGCUGGUGUUUCUAAAACAACCUAUUUAUUGUGUACAAUUCUUUCAGCUCUUCUUCGAUAGUCUGCCACUGUAUUUAUAUACCUGUUCCUGCCCUGACCACACUCUCUCAUUCAUUACUGAAACAAAUUUUCCAAAUAAUUCUUAUUUUAUCUUGCUGCUAGCCUACGCCUCUUAAUUGCACUUAAUUGACUUGAAGCAUAUUUAACAUCUACAUGCCUUGGUUUACUCAUAAGUAGCAUAUGGAUAAUACUAAGGGGUAAUAUUAUAAGUGACCUUGGAGUUGGGAAUAUUAAAUGAGUAAACGCAUUGUGCCAUUCAUCUAGCAAGCAUUAAAACUAGCCAUCAUUCUUAUCACCACUGUUAUUGUUAAUAACACCAUUCCAAAACCAUUCUGUCAUCUUUACAUUUUGUUACCUG